GGGUGACUGCGUACCUUUUGUAUAAUGGGUCAGCGACUUAUAUUCUGUAGCAAGGUUAACCGUAUAGGGGAGCCGCAGGGAAACCGAGUCUUAACUGGGCGUUAAGUUGCAGGGUAUAGACCCGAAACCCGGUGAUCUAGCCAUGGGCAGGUUGAAGGUUGGGUAACACUAACUGGAGGACCGAACCGACUAAUGUUGAAAAAUUAGCGGAUGACUUGUGGCUGGGGGUGAAAGGCCAAUCAAACCGGGAGAUAGCUGGUUCUCCCCGAAAGCUAUUUAGGUAGCGCCUCGUGAAUUCAUCUUCGGGGGUAGAGCACUGUUUCGGCUAGGGGGUCAUCCCGACUUACCAACCCGAUGCAAACUACGAAUACCGAAGAAUGUUAUCACGGGAGACACACGGCGGGUGCUAACGUCCGUCGUGAAGAGGGAAACAACCCAGACCGCCAGCUAAGGUCCCAAAGUCAUGGUUAAGUGGGAAACGAUGUGGGAAGGCCCAGACAGCCAGGAUGUUGGCUUAGAAGCAGCCAUCAUUUAAAGAAAGCGUAAUAGCUCACUGGUCGAGUCGGCCUGCGCGGAAGAUGUAACGGGGCUAAACCAUGCACCGAAGCUGCGGCAGCGA
rnacentral:rRNA from 1 species